rnacentral:lncRNA from 1 species
GGCUGGCUGCCAGCACACCCAAACGUAUUAUAUUCCCUAUGAUGGUUUAGUGCUUUGUUUUUUUUUAAUUCCCGCGAUCACAGAACCUCAUUUUCAGCUCCCGCCAAAGCCAGCAACGUUGGGAAUCUACUCCUUGGAUAGUGUCGACAGGCCUCAAGGAGCAGGAUGGAUCUCGAUGUGGUUAACAUGUUUGUGAUUGCGGGUGGGACCCUGGCCAUUCCGAUCCUGGCCUUCGUAGCUUCUUUCCUCCUUUGGCCCUCGGCGCUGAUAAGAAUCUAUUAUUGGUACUGGCGGAGGACGCUGGGCAUGCAAGUCCGCUACGUGCACCACGAGGACUAUCAGUUCUGUUACUCC